GGCAGCUCGAGUGAUGGCCGAUCUUAUUGGGCCUAAAGCGUCCGUAGCUGGCCGCGCAAGUCUGUCGGGAAAUCCACCCGCUCAACGGGUGGGCGUCCGGCGGAAACUGUGCGGCUUGGGACCGGAAGAUCUGAGGGGUACGUCUGGGGUAGGAGUGAAAUCCUGUAAUCCUGGACGGACCGCCGAUGGGGAAACCACUUCAAGAGAACGGAUCCGACAGUGAGGGACGAAAGCUAGGGUCUCGAACCGG
rnacentral:rRNA from 1 species